rnacentral:rRNA from 1 species
GACGAACGCUGGCGGCGUGCUUAACACAUGCAAGUCGAACGGAAAGGCCCUGCUUUUGUGGGGUGCUCGAGUGGCGAACGGGUGAGUAACACGAGAGUAACCUGCCCUUGACUUUGGGAUAACUUCAGGAAACUGGGGCUAAUACCGGAUAGGAGCUCCUGCUGCAUGGUGGGGGUUGGAAAGUUUCGGCGGUUGGGGAUGGACUCGCGGCUUAUCAGCUUGUUGGUGGGGUAGUGGCUUACCAAGGCUUUGACGGGUAGCCGGCCUGAGAGGGUGACCAGCCACAUUGGGACUGAGAUACGGCCCAGACUCCUACGGGAGGCAGCAGUGGGGAAUAUUGCACAAUGGGCGGAAGCCUGAUGCAGCAACGCCGCGUGCGGGAUGACGGCCUUCGGGUUGUAAACCGCUUUCGCCUGUGACGAAGCGUGAGUGACGGUAAUGGGUAAAGAAGCACCGGCUAACUACGUG